rnacentral:rRNA from 1 species
UUUUAUUAAAACAUAGGUAGUAAUAAACAUAAAACCAAUAUAUUAUGGCGGUUUUAACAAUUUAGAGAAACUCGCUUUAUAAUCGAUAAUUCCCGAUAAAUUUCACUUAUUUUAAAAAAUUUAUAUACCGCCGUAUAAGAUCUAAUAUUUUUAUUAAAUUCAUAAUUUACAAUUACAAUAAUUCAGGUCAAGGUGUAAUUAAUUAAUAAGAAAAAGUAAGUUACAUUAAAAUAAAUUUAAGGACUCAAAAUAAAAAUAAAGAUAAAAAAGAAUUUAAAUGUAAAUUUAAGUUAAAAAUUAAAAUAGAACUAAUCAGUUAAAACGC